CUACGGGCUGCUGCAGUAGGGAAUACUGCACAAUGGGCGAAAGCCUGAUGCAGCAACGCCGCGUGAGUGAUGAAGGCCCUCGGGUCGUAAAACUCUUUUCAAGAGGAAGAGGAAGGACGGUACUCUUGGAAUAAGCCUCGGCUAACUGCGUGCCAGCAGCCGCGGUAACACGUAGGAGGCGAGCGUUAUUCGGAUUUACUGGGCGUAAAGCGCGUGUAGGCGGCUCUAUAAGUUGGAUGUGAAAGCUCCCGGCUUAACUGGGAGAGGACGUUCAAAACUAUGGAGCUUGAGGACGAGAGAGGAAAAUGGAAUUCCGGGUGUAGUGGUGAAAUGCGUAGAUAUCCGGAGGAACACCAGUGGCGAAGGCGAUUUUCUGGCUCGAGACUGACGCUCAGACGCGAAAGCUAGGGUAGCAAACGGGAUUAGAUACCCCCGUAGUC
rnacentral:rRNA from 1 species